CUCACCUGCUCAUCCGGGAGGACUUUGUCCUGACUUCAGCACACUGCUUAAGGAAUGCUUAUCCUUUAACGGUGGUGCUUGGAGCCGACGACUUAAAGAAGUGGAAGAAGAGUUGUCAGAAGAUUCAGGUGUCCCAUUACCAUCGGCAUCCAUUACAUGAGAAUGCAACGCAGAUCAGUUAUGACGUCAUGCUACUGAAGUUAAGGACCACAGCUCGUCUAACCGAGUAUGUGAAGGUCAUUGGACUCCCAAAGGAGGAUGAACAUCUCCCAGCAUCCCCCAAAUGCUCCGUAGGUGGUUGGGGCAAGACUAACUCGAACAACAACCAGGGUUCUGGCGUUUUGAUGGAAGUGGCGGUGACGUUGGAGGAUGACUCUGAAUGCAAGA